UACGAAGGGGGCUAGCGUUGUUCGGAAUCACUGGGCGUAAAGGGCGCGUAGGCGGCCGUUCAAGUCGGGGGUGAAAGCCUGUGGCUCAACCACAGAAUUGCCUUCGAUACUGGACGGCUCGAGACCGGAAGAGGUCAGUGGAACUGCGAGUGUAGAGGUGAAAUUCGUAGAUAUUCGCAAGAACACCAGUGGCGAAGGCGGCUCACUGGCCCGAUACUGACGCUGAGGCACGAAAGCGUGGGGAGCAAACAGG
rnacentral:rRNA from 1 species